AUGGAUGAAGGCUUACAUUGAAUUUAACACACUCAAACGCCGAGAAGCGAGAGAUGACUUUUCGAAAGAUUUGUUCAAAUUGCUCUCAAAUGCUGUGUAUGGAAAACAGUUACAAAAUGUAAGAAAGUACAACCAAAUUGAAUUAAUCACCACCGAAGAAAGGAGAAACAGGUUUAUGGCAAAAUCAAAUUUCAAAAGUGUAAAUAUUUUUUCAGAACAUUUGGUUGUAGUGAGCAUGGAGAAAGUGUGCGUGACAUUGAACCAACCCGUCGCCGUGGGUUUCACCAUUUUGGAACACGCUAAGAGACUUCUCUAUGAUUUCCAUUACAAUGUCAUGUUAAAGGAAUAUGCAAGCGACCAUGUCAGAGUCCUGAUGACGGACACAGAUAGUUUGUUUUAUCAAAUCUGGUCACCUGUAGGUACUCCUCUCCGAGAUCCUCAAGACUUUAUGUCGGCUAACCUUCACCUGUUCGAUACCUCUAACUAUCCCAAAGACCAUCCACUUCAUUCCAUGGAAAGACACAAAGUCAUCGGUCUGAUGAAAGAUGAAGUGGGUGGUAAAAGCAUCAGAGAGUUUGUCGGACUUCGACCAAAAAACUAUAGUUUUAUUUUUGACAAAACUCCCAGUGAACGAGCCGAGAAACGCACUGCCAAAGGGGUGCAAAAAGCCUUCGUCAAAAAACAUCUUCGGCAUCAAAUGUACAAAGACUGUCUUUUCAAACACGAACAAAAUAUGGCCACAUAUCAUCAGAUUCGAUCCAUUCACAACACCCUCUACACAGAAAAAGUGACCAAAGUGGCAUUGACGCCACAAGAUGACAAGCGAUACAUUUUGGCAGAUGGCAUCGAAUCUCGACCCUAUGGAUUUAAUCCUAUUUAGAAGUUUGUAACUUGCUCCUUGCUAAGGAAAAAUUCUGAAACUCCCCCCUCAUUGGUUCACUAAGUGUCUAGCAAACAAGAACACAAGAAACCUUCUGGUGUUCCUGAAAGUGUGAAAAACCAAAAGAAUGAGCGGAAAUCCUACGAGACAAUACCGCUACAAGGUAACUGGAAACCGUGGAGAAGUGCUGAAGGAAGGGAGAAUUCUACAGCGAAGUCAUCUUGCAGCUUGUGUUGCAGGAGCACGAUGUCUGGAGAGAACGCUGAGACGUCAGCUGAAUGGAGCAGCAGAGAGCACGCAUCACCGGGGACCAUUCUCCGUGACCAGCCAUGAGGUCGUUAUGCCAAGACGAGCACGUGAAAUAAGAAGUCUGACACAUAUUCGUUCAGCGUUUGAAUCCGCAAUGGAAUCUGUUUAUGUGGAUGAACUUCAGGGCAAAGUGAAUGAAUUGUGUAAUAAAAACUGUUAUGGAUGUGAAAUUGAUCAUCCGUCUCAAGUUCAUCAUGCGUGUCUGAUGAUGGAUGGUGAUGAGCGGAUUGAUAGGUAUUUUGAUGAUGCAUUGUUAACAAUGCCUCACAGACUCAUCAUCGAAAAGGCAAGAGAGCGAAUGACUUCAUCAUCAUCAUCAUCAUUAUCAUCCAGACUGGCAUUUUCACUCCUUAACACAGAAUGCUAUGAAAAUCUGCAUUACAUAAACACUAAUUUCUUUACGUCGAGUAGAAAAGGACGAGUAGAAGAGAAGCUGAGAGAGAAAAUGUGAGACCUUUUUUAGAAAAUGUGACAAUAUAUAAUGAAUUGUGUUUAUAUUAUAUAUCGUCAACAAGAGACAUGACUCUGAUCGAUUGUGUUUAUAUUAUAUAUCGUCAACAAGAGACAUGACUCCGAUUGACCCAAUCCUCUCGAAGACAGUGACUACGCUUAUAAAAGAAAUAGUAGUGUUUUGUACAUACACACGUCAUCCUGAUAACAAUCGAGGAACUUGGUUCAUGACAUAAUCUUAAAAAAUAAAAUCUAUUUCGUGUUCA